GAUCUCAGUCCGUCCAUGGCCACUGCUCAGCGCAGCACCACCCCGUCCUCCCUCGUCAGCCGCCGCCGAUCUUCUCGCUGGGGUGGAGCAGUAGGGGAUCCCGCCAGAUCCGACCUGCAGGCAAAGGGCGACGGCGGGGGCGCUUGAUUCGAUCCUGCGCCACAGGUCCGUGCAGGAGAGAGAGGAGGGAGAAAGAGAGAGCAAAGAGGAGUGGCUGAUGACGAGAGGAGGGAGAAAGAGAGAGGAAAUAGGAGAGGGAGGCUCGGCAGCGGACGGGACAGGGUCGCCGGCCGGUGUCGGCCUGCGCCGGCGAGUUCGCUCGCCCAGCUGCCAAAUAGGGAAAGGCGACGGGACCGGCAUUCGGGGCGGCGGCGGCGGCGGGACUGCAGGAACUGGCCGAGGUGAUCCUCGCCAAACAAGCGGGCGGCAGCAAGAUUUCUUCAUUGGUUGAUUUGAUUUGGGGCUGAUUUUCCCCUGGAUUCCUUCCUCUUAUAGUUCCUUUCCAACUUGUUGUUCAUGGCUUGCUUCCCAACCACAGGUGCUCCCCACGGUGAGGAACGGACGCGCUCAACGCCUUCCUUCCCAACCAGAUAUGAGAAAGAAGAAAUAGGACCAAGAAAAUUAGUUGCUCAUAUAUUCAUGUGUCGUGCAGAGAAGAAACCGAAUGGAGAACUUGGUAUGCCGAGUAAUGUGCAGGUUGCUUUUGUCCUCUCAUCUGCUGUUUGGUCUUCGUCUAUUGCUCUGCUGGCUCGUCAUCACCUUGGUUGGAGGUUGUUCUUGGUCCUGCCAUUUGUUCUUGUUAGAGCUAACUGAAAAUAUUUGUUCUCACCUAUGCUAAUGCCUUUCGGUUAAACUAGAAAUUGUUUCAUUGUUGGAAGCUUUCAUCUGCAUAUAUGCGUAAGGGGCUGUGUAUUUAUUUUGUUUCAUUCAUUUUUUGGUCUAUUUAUUUUGCACAGAAAACCAUUUGUGGUAUGCUUUGAUGGGCCUUAUUUAAUACAGUACAGACAAAAUUGGAAGUAGUAGCAAACCAGCCAUAAUUUUUUUGAGAGAACUAUGCUAACCACAAGCAAUGAUGUACUCCUGUCAUUUUGCCAUGAUAUUGUAGCCCACUUCCAAGACUCUAUGUACUAAUGUUAGCUACUUGCUUCUUUAGCUGCUCUAAUUAGGAACCAAUUCUCUGUGUGGUUUAUCCUCUUAAAAUUGUUACUAUUCACUUAGUGGGGGAGUGUAAGCAGUAGCUGAUUUUAGAGAACACUACACACCAGAGCAGGAAGCCGAAGUCAGGAAGGAGAAUGCAUGUACCCUUGAGGACUGAAGAAUGAUGUUUAAUCUUGCUUUUGUCUACGCUGCUAUUCUUGGUUCAGAUCCUUACCUUCGGUUCAGUUCCAUGUAGUCUUAUGGAUAGAUGUACAAGUUGGUGAAAACUGAUAACUACCGGAUGGGUUAAUUAAUCGUUGUUGCCCCUAAUUUUGUUAAAGCUUCAUCAACACCUUACAUUUGCUUGGUAGAAAUUUAAACUGAACACCAACUUCAUUUAUGUUAUACUCGGGUGAUGGAUUCCUUCAGAUAUACAAAUUCCUCGAGCAAAGUUUACAAUGCUUUUGUGCCACUUAUGAUAUGCUUCACAAUUUUUUUGUCUUUCCUUGUGGAUCGUCCAUUUGAACAAUAUAUAUCAAUGUAAAUAACCUUACAUUUCCUUCUCUUUCAAUCGAUUUAAGGUUCUCAUAUAGAAUGAUUACUAAUGACCAGCUGCAGCCACCGCCUAAUCUAACAUUGUUGUACUCAUGGCUUUUGGCAGCUGUGUAUUCCAUUUAGUUACCUUUGCCUAAUGCGUCCUGAUGCGAGGCAUUCUUGUUGCCCUGUACACAGCUUUGCGUUGUAUGAUUGUUACUAUUUCUCCCUGCGUUCUCUCCUUUGCAUUGUCUGACUAUUACAUGAUUAAUAGAUGAACACUCCUAUAUCGCAAUGAAAGGCAAGGACAAGCUCCUGUGACUAAAUACCUAGCAAAUCACCGUGCCUAGGAACUCUCGUCGCAAGCUCUUCACUUCGCCUUCCAAAACCAAGGGAACUACAUCAUCUGCGGCUGUGCCUAAAGAUCCUACCCAAACUGCAGAAACUGCUUUUGCUGGAGAUGUUGUUGACCCUGCAUCCAAAACAAAUGAAACUAAGCAAGAUGCUGCUGCUGCAGCUACUGAAGAUGUGAAGAAUGUGCAAUCUGAUCAGACUAAUCGAACAUAUAAACCCUGCUGGGCUACCUGCCCAGCGAGGGCACUUCCGUGCGCUGCUGCUUCAGGCCGUUUGAUAUUUUUACCGUACUGUGUUUUUUGAUGCUGGCACUCAGUCAACCGGUCGUUCGUUUUGUACGUUGCUGGAUGAUUUUCUAAUCACUUCAUUUUUUUUCCAGCUGAGAUCUGCUUGCAGUUUACUAAAUUGUUACCAGACUUCAAAUGUACUACCUAGCAGACUAGCAAGUGUAUAUGAUGACUCCUUUUAUCGUUGAUGAAGGAAUUGGGAUUUCUUUAAGGGAAAUGAUAACAAUGGUGUAUGAAAUGGUAAGGUAAAUGGUGUUUUUUUUCCAUUGUCAUGUUUAAUGGUAUAUUGGCAUGAAGUCAGAGCAGCACCUGAAGACUACACAAGAUAGUUUCUGGUGACCUUCAGUCUAUAUGUCCUAACCAACAGUAGCCACCUUUUGUUUCGUAUCAAUCGAUCCAGCAAGAUAUGUAUAGCCUUUAGAUUUCCAUUCGUGCAUGUGAUACUGCAUGUACACUUAGAUCUCAUUACUGUCUUUGUGGUCAAAACAAAGUUUGUGAUCACUUGUUCUACAUAUGUAAUCAA